CCUACGGGAGGCAGCAGUGGGGAAUAUUGGACAAUGGGGGAAACCCUGAUCCAGCAAUGCCGCGUGUGUGAAGAAGGCCUUCGGGUUGUAAAGCACUUUUAGCAGGAAAGAAAAGCUGCUUGCUAAUACCAAGCAGUCUUGACGUUACUUGCAGAAAAAGCACCGGCUACUCCGUGCCA
rnacentral:rRNA from 1 species